rnacentral:ncRNA from 1 species
ACUGUCUUGUAGCCUGAUCUUAGAAACUAAGCUAGGCCAGGCCUAUUCGUUACUGGAACGGGACUUAGUGAGCAGUGUUGCUUUUUGAGCCAUCAAUGUUACCUCUUAUGAUAAUUGUGAAGCACAGCUAAAAACCAGUGUUGGAUUGUUCACCCAACAACCGCUAAUUUGAGCUAGGAUUAGACCAUCAUGAGAAAGGUU